CAAGUUACAGAUUUAGAAGAUGUAGACUUAUGGUGGAGACAAAGAAAUGGAAUAAUAACUCAAAGUAGCUCAUCUUCCUAGAGCUGAUGCCAUCGAACCCUGAUCAAUCUUAGUUUUAGUGGUGAAGGCUCAUGGUGGAUUUUGCCUAGCAGUUCAUAAUUUUGUCUCAAGGGUGCCUCAGUGUCUCAGCGUCUCCAGAAAGCCCUUCGUGGUUGUUUCUGGAAUGAGUCCCAAUGCUCACCUCACACAGGCCUAUUCUUCCUCUUCCUCAAGCCGUUGCCUGUUCGACAUGAGAUGUGUCCUUCAAUAAGUCAGUAGCAGAUUGCCUCAAGGCAGGAGACAACUAAGGCUCCAACAGAAAGGACAAAUUGCAAGAAUGGGACAGAGAUCAUAUUCUCAAAAGGACUUUUUAAUAAAAACUCACUGAAAGCAAUUAA